GCCUUCGUGGUGUUGUGGUCAGCACGCUCGGCGCGUAUGCGAGAGGUCCGCGGUUCGAAUCCCAGCAAGGGCA
rnacentral:tRNA from 1 species